GCCAGUGUGGUGUAGUGAUUUGAACAUUGGCCUAAGAUUCUGGAGAUCAGGGUUCAAAUCCCUGUUCGGCCA